AUGCGGGCCCUUUUUUGGAACAUCCGCGGCUUCGACCAUGAUGGCCGACGCCGCCAACUCGUCGAGUACGUGCGAGAUGAACACAUUGACAUCAUUGCCAUCCAGGAAACCAUGCACACUGAGUUCUCCCUCCAUGAGCUAGACUGCCUUAGUUCCCACCUCUUCGCCUGGCAUUGGCUCCCUUCUAGUGGGACCACGGGCCAUUCUGGCGGCAUCAUUUUAGGGGUAAAGGAUGCCACCUUUGAGGUGGGUGGCAUGGACCGGGGUGAAUUCUUCAUUAGUAUGGAGAUCUUUGAGCGUGCUCUUAAAUUCAAAUGGGAAGUGGUGAUUGUUUAUGGACCGGCGGACCACCGCCGCUCCCCGACCUUCCUUGCGGAGCUGCAUCAAAAGAUCUCCACCUCCCUCCUCCCAGUAGUCGUGGGCGGAGACUUCAACCUCAUCCGCUCCCCGGAUGAGAAGAAUAAUGAUCGGAUUAACCUCCCCCGGAUGUAG
rnacentral:rRNA from 1 species